rnacentral:rRNA from 1 species
GACGAACGCUGGCGGCGUGCUUAACACAUGCAAGUCGAACGGAAAGGCCCUUUCGGGGGUACUCGAGUGGCGAACGGGUGAGUAACACGUGGGUGAUCUGCCCUGCACUUUGGGAUAAGCCUGGGAAACUGGGUCUAAUACCGGAUAGGACUACGCGAUGCAUGUCGUGUGGUGGAAAGCUUUUGCGGUGUGGGAUGGGCCCGCGGCCUAUCAGCUUGUCGGUGGGGUGAUGGCCUACCAAGGCGACGACGGGUAGCCGGCCUGAGAGGGUGACCGGCCACACUGGGACUGAGAUACGGCCCAGACUCCUACGGGAGGCAGCAGUGGGGAAUAUUGCACAAUGGGCGCAAGCCUGAUGCAGCGACGCCGCGUGAGGGAUGACGGCCUUCGGGUUGUAAACCUCUUUCAGUAGGGACGAAGCGCAAGUGACGGUACCUAUAGAAGAAGGACCGGCCAACUACGUGCCAGCAGCCGCAGUAACAC